GACGAACGCUGGCGGCACGCUUAACACAUGCAAGUCGAACGGGGUAGAGGAACUUCGGUUUUCUACUUAGUGGCGAACGGGCGAGUAACGCGUGAAGAACCUGCCUUUCAGUGGGGGACAACAGUUGGAAACGACUGCUAAUACCGCAUAAUGUUAUUUGGGGGCAUCUCCGAAUAACCAAAGCUUAAUGUGCUGAGAGAUGGUCUCGCGUCUGAUUAGCUAGAUGGUGGGGUAACGGCUCACCAUGGCGACGAUCAGUAGCCGGUCUGAGAGGAUGAACGGCCACAUUGGGACUGAGAUACGGCCCAGACUCCUACGGGAGGCAGCAGUGAGGGAUAUUCGGCAAUGGGGGAAACCCUGACCGAGCAAUGCCGCGUGAGGGAUGACGGUUUUCGGAUUGUAAACCUCUGUCCUCUGUGAAGAUAAUGACGGUAGCAGAGGAGGAAGCUCCGGCUAACUACGUG
rnacentral:rRNA from 1 species